rnacentral:lncRNA from 10 species
GGCAGCCACAGUAUCAUUUACUAUUAGUCAUUCUCUCAUGAAGGGUCAAACUCCUAAACACAACCCCAGAAUCCAAGGAACCAAUCUUUCCAUAAUAAUAGAACUACUACCCGACGCUUUUUAGAACACAAAAGGACUUUUAUUUAUUUUCCUAAAUUUCAUUUCCAAUGAUACAUUUCCUGAAAGAUGGAAUACCAAAGGCAAUUUUCAGUCACAGCAACUCCAUCAAAUACACAUAAUCUGAUAUUUUACUGCUUCAGUGAAUUAUAAUCUUCUCAGGGUUUCCUGGUUAAAGAAGACAAAACUAAGAUAAUAGAGAGGAAAAGUUAAGAAUAUUGUUCUUUAGAAAAUUUGUUGAACUCAAUAAACAUUCAUUCAUGGGUGUAGUGUCCAUUUUUAAAAGGAAACUCUAAAAUUCCUAGAAACACAAGACAAUACUGGUAAUAUUGAGUGAGUAUACAUUCAUAUAUUUCUGUGAAAAUUUGUGCAAUUAAACAAUAUGGAAAAUGUUGUUUAUUACCACAGCCAAUGAAAAUAUAUUUCCAUUGCUAUGUAAGUUAAACAUUUCCAUCUCCCGCUUCAUGUUCUGCAAAAAAGCCAUGUGCCUAGUUUAUGAAAUAAACUAUGCUAUAGGCAACAGUAACUGAAAAGGAGCUUAACAGUCUUAACUACAUACCCCUGGGAUGAAUACUACACUUUGCAUAAUCAUGUGCAAUGCUGAAUGAUGAUUCUAUAUCUCUUAUAACUAUAAGGGUUUGCAAGCUUCUAUUUCAUACAAUAUGCCCCAAAUCCAGGCAAUACAGCCAAAUAGUCAAGCAAUAAUUUAGGUGGUUAAUCUACAAAAUGGCAAACAACCCAUUCGACUAAACUGAUUGUGUUUUGUUAAUGUGAGGACACCAUCAUUGCAGGUACCCUAUAAAGAAAUCAUUUGAAAGUGGCUAUUUGUUUCAAUUAAUGUUUCCCCCUAAGGCUCUUAGAAGUUGACUUAAUUGCCUCUUAGGACCAAAGAAAAUACAACUGUAUAAACAGAAGACCACAGUAUUAAUAACAUAAAAACAAACACCACGCUCUAUGCACAUUCCUCCAUAGGAGAAAUAUCACAAAAAGCAAACAAAGAAACUUGGGAUCCAGCAGAAGUAUAGGCAAAUCUAAUGCCUAAAAUUUUCUCUCACACCAGUGACAGGUAUAAAUAUUGAUCAAAACUCCCCUUUUUAGUUAGCUUAUGUGUGAAUCUUUGAAUAGUAUAUUUUCAAGAGUGAUUACUCAAGGUGAAGGUCUGCACAGUAGGCAAGCAGUGUACUUCAGCUCAAUGUAUUUAUUGUCUGACAAACAGGACUGGGGAGUUUCAAGCAAGGAGUGAAUCCAUUUCACAAAGACAACUUGCUUCUGCAGACAAAAGGUAUCAACUGCAGAAUGCCCUCUGAGGAAAGGAGUGUGAAUUUUCUUUGGCAUGUUAAAUGCUGUACAUAUACAUUUUUUUCCGUGCAGAUAAUCCCUCAGGGCUACUUCUUAUUAAAAUAUACAUUUUUUUCAUAUUUUAUUUCAUGACUUUAUCCUGUAUUAGGGAGCUCUCAGAGGAAAUUUGAAAUAACUAAGUAUUCUUGAAAUUUGAAAAGACUGAUAAAUUUAAAGUAUUCCAGAUAUUAUAUUAAUUGAGAUAUCAGGUUGGUAACAAAUUUACAAAGGUCAAAAGCUUGCCAGUUUCCUGAUUGUUAGUAAGUCUGAGGUUUGGUUCUGCAAUUUUUUCUUUUUUAAACAAACAAAAAACAAGACAAAAACAGGCUCAAUUUUAGUUUCUCUAAGCUUUUCUAAAGUUCUUAUAUGUCAUUUUCUAGCAAUCUUUUCUCCUGCCCAAACUUCAAUAACAACAACAACAAAAAAGAAACAAGUUUAUUUUCUUUUCAAUAUCGUUUUUAGGGCCCUUAACUGUAUUUUUAAGGUUUCUGGAGAAGGAAGAUAGUUCUCUUGGUUUCUUUAUAUGUUAGCACACAAGGAAUCACAGAUGGGAAGGAGAGUGCAAAUGACUAUCAGAUAAAAGUUUCAUGCAUUUUAAGAUUUUUUUACAAGUCAAAAUAUACAUCCUCCUAUUGCCCCCACCCCAUUCCUCAAUUGUGUAAGAACUAUCCCCAUGUCAUCAGUCUCCUUCACAUCUCACUAAAUUGGAUAAGAAAUAAAGACACUUUUCUUGUUAAGAAACAGUAUAUUUCCAAUACUAAUCGGUUUUACCAAUUGCAUUAGUAAGAAAUAUAGCAGCAGUGUGGGCUGAGUCACCCAUCAUACCCUUCAUUUAUGGGGAUUUAAAUGUGUAAAGUGACAGGUACAUGAAAUUAAGAGAAAAAAUAAAGCAGUCUGCAGACUUCGGCACUAGCACACAUAAUGGUUUGUUUGUUAGAGUUGUGGCUUGACAAUCGCUAAACAGGAAUUACAAAAUUGUAAAUCUGCAGAAAACAAACAAUCAUAGGUGUUGAUUCUCAGUUUAACACUCCUCAUCUCCCAUUCCCACCCACCCACCCCCAUAUAGUUUCAAGUAUAAUAAAAAUAGAGAUCUCAGCAUCAGAAUUUUGCUGUUAACUCUUCAAGGUUUCUCUGCGCCAUCCAAGCCACACAUAGGGUUUGAAGCACCAAAUCCACAAGUUUCUCCAACCAAGUUUAAAUAGACAAAAAGUGAAGACUGAAUGAUGCCAAAGUAACUGUUCUUAAAUUAAGCUGUAACACAAAGUUCUCCCCCCAAAAACACAGGGCAUUAAGCGUCUAGUUCAAGUACUGCCAGGCUGUAUGUAGAUCUGUCUCAGACAGGCUUCAGACAACAAUUACAAGUACACUGCUUCUAGUGGGCAUUAUCCACGAUACCAAAGCAGGGCAGGGAUUCCCUUCCAUUAUCAAUUUUUAAAAGUUGCAACCCCCUUUGGGAUUGGCUGCCGCAGGGUCAGUGCUGAGCCCGGGGCUUGAGGGGAGGAAGUGAGCCUCCUCCUGGGCAGGGAAGCUCUACAUUUAGUUUCAACACUUCUCCUUUCAGAGCUCUCUCUCAGGACUAUUCUGGCUUCUCAGGAUCCAUUGCCCUUGCCCAGGAGAGAGAGCCUCGCUGGGACCCAGAAACCGCGAAAGAAGAUUCGACCUACCUGUGGAACCAGACACAACUUGGUCCCCAAAGGUCGCUUAGGCGACCCCACUGCAAACGGGCGUCGGAGACUCGCACUUUGACUUGGUUCACAUACACAGGAGAUCCGGAUUCGCUGGGCACGUCGGGAACCCGCGAGUUAAUAGAGCCUGACGCCAGAAGAAGGGCGGCAGCGAGAUAGAGAUGGAGAAGACCCACACCAGCGCG